CACGUAGGGGGCAAGCGUUGUCCGGAUUUAUUGGGCGUAAAGAGCUCGUAGGCGGCUCAGUAAGUCGGGUGUGAAACCUCCAGGCUCAACCUGGAGACGCCACCCGAUACUGCUGUGGCUUGAGUCCGGUAGGGGAGCGUGGAAUUCCUGGUGUAGCGGUGAAAUGCGCAGAUAUCAGGAAGAACACCCGUGGCUAAGGCGGCUCUCUAGUACGUGACUGACGCUGAGACGCGAAAGCGUGGGGAGCGAACAGG
rnacentral:rRNA from 1 species